AAACGCAAUCGCAAUGCAGGCCAAUCCCUCUGCCCCGUUCGUCCACCCGCUCGCUCGCCCUCCCGUUCCCGGUAAUGACAAUCAUUACGGGGAAUGAUUGCAGCGUCGGGUCCGCCAGCGCGCCAGCCGCUAUUGGGGGAUGGAAACCACCUUAUAGAGUCUCUCCUCGGUCCUCGAUGCGAGCGGUUUGUCACAUGCUCCCGACGCGGCGGAGUGUUUCCUUUUCGUCGCGAUUCCUUACGAAUUCGUUACCACGGUGAAAAAAUACCAUCCUUUUCGCUGAACGAUCGUGUAAGAUGGACAGACGUUGAGGACGCGAUCGUUCGAAUGUCCGACGAUUUCGAGCCUCAAACACGUGGAUUUCUAGAAGACUUCUAUCGUGGAGAAAGCUUUACCGAGAUUGGAUUGGAAUUUUUGUGGCUUUUCAAGGUGCUAAUUUGAGAAAUGGAAUUGGAGUAAUGGACUGCGAUGCUAGAUCGAGAAAGUGACGAAUGAAAGACGCGGACGAUGCGACGGUCGCGUGAUGGAAACGUCUCAGUGAGAUAUGAGUGCGUCAUCGAAUACUCAGGGUCAGGAUGAUGUAAUUGCUGGAAGAUUUUUUGUAUGGCUCAGCGAAUGAUGGAAAAGUCUUGUUUGUGAUAAACAUAGUAAAAUGUAUGCAAAAAGUCUAUACAUGAGAAUCAUCGAGAUGACGGAAGAACAUGGCGGUCAUUCGACCACGUGACUGUUUGUGCGACCAUUUUCAAGCAGCAUCAGUCACUGGAGAUUCGCCAAGUUUGCUGAAACUUCUCUGUACAACGGAGCCACGAGGUUAAUCGCUAAUUGUCGUUUGAAAACCGAUCGAUUUCUGAUGCUCGAUGAAUUCCUUCGUCCGGAUGCAGGUGGAAAGAAAUCUCGAGCAGACAUAACGGUGCAGCACAGGGACAGAGGAAAAAAGAGAACGAGAACCUUGAACCAAUCGUAAAUGGCGUGGAGUGAAAGCGGUCGGUCUCCGCGGUUUUCCCAGAAGAGCGCGAGCCACGAAAUUAUCGACCUGUAAAUCGGAACGAAGGAUCUCGUUUCUUACUUACCAACGUGGGUAUGAGCUCGCUCUCUUCUGUGCCAGAAGAAAAAGGAAAUAUAAAAGAGAGGACGAAGAUUGAACGUACACGUUGGUCCCGAGACGAAAAUCGUGAAUCCGGUGCGUGCUACGAACGACGAUUCAGACGUUACAAUUUGUUCCUCGCCGCGAACAGCUUUCUGCCACGUCAAUCCUCGCACGUCGAAACGUGGCUCGAUGUUCCCUACGAUUGAUUUACAUCAUCCAUUUGACGGAUUACGAAUAACGAUGUUUAGAUGUUUCAGAAAAUGACUGGCGAGCCGGGUUUGAAGAUUUCUAUCGAGAACAUUAUUGCACAACGCAACCGAGUGAUUGAUGGAGAGCGUGCACUAUUUUCUGACAUGGUUUCGAUGAAAAAAAGUGUCAUUUAUUUCCUCCAGUGAUAACUCUGGGAAUCCUUCCACUUGGAUUAAUGACUAACCAUUAUCGUGCAGACUGUGUAUCAUUUCUUACACUUUAAUUGCGAGUAACUGGAAAAUAAAGCGGUAGCUUCGCCCACGAAAAACCAGAGAGAAAGAGAGAGAUUUAUUCUAUGCCAUUAUAGUAAUCAAAAAAACGAGAAAAGGAGCUGCAAUAGACGAGAAAGCGUCGUGGGGUCACACCUUACCCGAUCGAAAAGGAAGAUGAGAUUGAACGGUGACACUCGACGGACAAUACCCCGUGACUCGAUUACACACGAGUACCGUUAAUCAUCCUAAUAGCGUGCGCAUAAUGUCAGAUACGAUCUGCGUUCGCUUGCUACGGUAGAUUCGUGAUGCCACGCUCCUCCAACGAUCGUUCGGCCCACGUGCAACUUGGCGUCGCACAGGAUGAGUCGAAUAGAAAAUGAAAUCAUACUCCGCCGCUUACAAGCACGGCUUUAAGAUCGUGAAUGGGCGUACGGAGACAAUCGGAGACGCUAGGCGCCUGAAUUCCGAUUGGACGUUGCCUUCUAAUUGAGUCAUCGUGUCAUUAGCGUUAUAAUAAUCACGGCUCGUAACGAAACGAUCUCUCUUUGUCGACUGUACGCUGGCCUGGAACGCCACCGCCGGGAAAACACAGAGAUCCACCCGAAGAUCGUACGUAGAUCGAUGGCCAAUUAAGCUCAAUUACCGACACGGAUAAUCGACCACCGUCGGUGAAAGAAUGAUUAUUCCGCGAAUGAUCGGUUAGAAUAUCGACCUUGGCUGAUUUUGCAAGAUCGAUUGCAACGAUAAAAUAGACAGAGGGAGGAAUUCUUGACCAAGUAGGAAGAAUGAUUGGACGGAGAAAGGAGUUUACGAGGGAGGAAAGAGAAUUUCUUAAAUUGAAUUUGCGAUUACAUUUGAAGAUAUAUUGAAAUAAUUUUGCUAGAUUUUAUAGCUACAUCGUACUUGUCUAAUGCAUUGCACAAGAUAGGAAUUAUUCUUCAACGAAUAUGAAAAAUGAUUGAAGAAAGAAGAUCGAAAGGAAGGAUAGUUUCCUGAAUUGAAUAUUCUUGAACGAAUAUGAAAACCGAUUGGACGAAGAAAGAAGUUCGAAAGAAAGGAUGAAUGGCGUCGUUCCGGCAGGCCGAAGAUAAAUCGAGAUACUUCAAGAACACCCCGUACCUACACAGAUGUUUAAGAGCUAAGCAACUACUCAGAGCGAGUGAGUUGAUGCGAGCCGCGUAUCACGAGAAGGAAGUUCAAUUUAACCCAAUAAAGGACAAUCAGAGGCCGACGGCGACCAGAGACGAAUACCUACUACUCCUCUGAUGGCUAAACGGAUCGACCGAGGGACUUCGCCUUCAGGUCUUUUCGGCUCGGAAGAUGGAAAACUCGUCGACGUGUUCAGACAUCGUACCUACCAACGUCUUAUCGCAGACAUCCUUUCUGUUAGGCUUAGGGAGUUGGCGAAAAUGGAAAAGGCCAAUUCAGUUCAUUCUUCGGGUUCGCCGCUCCGCGAACGACAAGGAGCAUCUAGUUCACGAUCCAAUGGACCGUGAAGUCUGUGACAUGGACCAAGUGGAAUUUUCGGUCAGUGUGUUUCUUACAAAAGGCCGCAAAAAGCCCGCAAAAAGGCUGCAACGAUCCGCUGUGAGAAAGGAAAGGGAAUAGAAUGGCUCAACGACGGGACUUGAAGCAUUCAAUGAUGCUGAUUCGUGAUCGCUGAUCGGAAACAUCGAUUUUGACAGGGUAGGAAAGUGGUAAACAAAGCGACAGAUGAUUUACAAUUUCGUACAGUUCCUUACAGUUUUAUUAAUAUUAAUAACAAUUGAAGGUAAACUGCACUUUCUUUAUUUGCAGAGUUCGUUAUAUUUUAAGUUACAAAUAGUACAUAGGCUUCUUAACACAUUCACUGCUACUAGUGCGUGUGGUGUACCGAUUCGAUUGUUUAAAUACAGGCAAAUUAUCGCCUAAAAUAAAGAAAUUUCUGGUAGAGCGAAGAAUGUAAUUGUAGGGACAGGUGAUCGUGUUUCAGUAACAGAAAGUGUGUUAGAGGGGUAACAUUUAUUAUAUAUUCUUUACUUAUACCAUUAGAAACAGAAGAGACUCUUAUUUAUAUACAUAGAAGCUUUCAUAUUUUACCUUUUAGAGGGACUUAACCUUCUAAUUAUAUUUUAUAUUUUACAUUUGUAUUUUAAUAUUUCACAAUUCUCUACCAUUAUUCAAAUUUCAUUCUUAUUUUCAACCCUUAACUAUACAUCUCCGUAUCUUUACGCGGAGCCUUUUAAAUUAUCAAACAUUUUAUUUACUAAAUCAUAUGCAAUAAAAGUUAAUCCAAUAUAUCUAUCAGAUAGUUUCAAGUUUCUUACAACUGCUCGAACUUCUUCGUCUCUAGUUAACGCUUUCACAUUCCCGAACUGGCAUAGUCCAGUCAUUAAAAUCUCGCGACAAUAUUGCCUAACCCCCCGAAACAUGGGUUGGCACUCGCAGCGAGACACAAAUUAAUUAUCAUGCAUUGAUAACGACGUGUUACAAGAGCAGACAAUCAGGGACCAACGGUGUCUCCAAAAUCUCACGGGGUUCAUUCACGGUGUCGUGGAAAGAGCGAGGGCUAUCUAUGAAAUUAGCGGGGGUUCGGCUUUAACCCUCCCCAUGGAUGGAUAAGGGGGGUUGAGCAUUAGCGAUUAUACGCACCGCGGAGUCCAUACAUCGGGUGUCUCCGUGUGGAACUAAACAGACAAAAUGGCCACACUACGGCUCACCCUCGAUUCCGUUUUCCUUUUACGAGCCACAGUGGCCGUCUCUUUUCAUCCUUCCUCCCUUCCUAGGAGUUUCUCCUUUUUACCUACAAGGCAUUACCACGACAAGGAAGAGGCGAGUCACGAGAUUUUCGAAAGUGCUCUCUCGCCUCUUUUCCUAUCUCUGUAUGCAGUCGCGUCUGUGGAAAGCGUACUGCACGCUCCAUCAACGUGUGGUAUUUCUCCUCUGUUGCAUUUUACAUCUCGAUAUCGUCGUAAGAUCUAUCGAAAGGCGCAUUAUUUGCAUUUUACUGAUGUGAAUGGAAUAGUAGCGGGAGAUGGAUGAUUAAAUUACCCGGAGAGGGGUUACUUUUUUCCUGAGAUUAUCUCGACCGAUUAUCUACUGCAAUAAUGUUCAAUAACGUGAUAUUACUCGGGCAAAGUCGAGAGCUGUGUGCAAUGUUUUUAUCAGUUUUAUGCGAUUCAAAGAUUGCCAAGUGUCGAAGGAAAUCCGGUAAUGAAAUUAGAAAAGAAAAGCUUCUUACGUUGGUUCUUCUAAUCUGGUUGUUGAAACGAUUUAUAAAGUUUACAGUAGCAUACAAGACAUGAAAUAGUAUAGUGUCUCUUCUAGUGGAUUUCCUAGUUGGCUACUUUCCAAGUAUUAAAGAUUAUAAGGUAAAACGUAUUCGAUAAGAACAUUAGAAAAUGGAACUUUACCACAAUUUUAUUGAUUCAUUUGAUUGAUCGCAAAAUAGAUGCUAGUAAUCGUUUCCUUAUCUUUCUUUUAUUCUUACAUUUAUUUUUACAAAAUCAGCUUUUAAGCGAAAGGCGUGCCCAUAAUCACGAAGCAGAUACAUGAAAAUAUUCUAAAACGUGUACACAUUUACAGUCCAUAAAAUACUAGGUACGUAAAUUAAUUUUUACACCUGAAACGAAGCUGAUUUAAUCCAUGGAAACAUCAGAUUUCAAAUCAAUUCUUACGAAGUUGCACGCAAAUGAUAAAUAUUUGAAAUUAAAACACAAAUGUUUAAACGCGAGCUCUUUUGUUGGUAGCUCUCUUCCAUCGCGUCUUCGCUUCGUUGCUCUUGCAAAAUCACAUUUCAAAGGAGCGACGGCUCCAUCAAAAUAGGGACAUAUGUUGAUCGACGGUCCAGAAGAAUGUCCCGAAUGGGCCCUUGUCACGGUGUGUUGCGGUAUGCAUCGACAAACGAAAGUAGCUUCCCGCGGCGGCUAAGAUCGGUGUCAUCCCCUUAAGUGGGGACAAUGGGGCUAAAUCCGAUUUUCGAAAUGAUCGCGUUAAACGUGCCCAGGGAUUUACGGAGGGCGGAUGCUCUUCUCAAUAGCCGAUGUUUACCGGUCCCAAUGGAAAGGGAUUACACCGUGCAUAUCCACUGCACGGGAAAGAGUGUGCUCCGACGAACUCCCGCGGCGCCAAAGAGGGGAUGCUCGAAAGUCCGCGCUGCAGGGUGCAUGAGGCGUGAUCUUGUGCAGUUCUUGGGAUACCUUCUCCAUCGAGCUGCAAUUUUAACAUACAUAAUAAAAUUAGAGCAACCACUGAUUAUCUCACAUGUCGUGGUGCAGGUUUUGAGAAUUCUGUCAUCGUUGCGGUAUAUAUUGAACGAUAUAUAGCGAUUUUUAUUUAAACUUUGGGCUCAAUUUUUGAAUGAAACUUACAGAAAUAGAGUGGAGAAUGUUUACUUUUGUUAAUGUGGAUGGAAUUUAUAAUUGUCAAAUAAAAUACAAAUAUUUA